UUUCUUGCAAUCUACUAGUUGGAUUGGAAAAAAAUUUGUAUGUGAGGAUAUAAGACUUGUUUUUCUAUAUAUAUGAGAAUUUUGAGAUAAAUCAAACCAUGAAAAGUAGAGAUAUUGGCUCUGAAAGAUUAGCAUCAAGGUUAGAGAAGGAGGUCGGCUAACAUUCAAGUACGUUUUUGAGGCUAUCGUCUAGUUGGUAAUUUCGAUCCUUUCAAAAUUUUUUGUGCUUAUUUUCAACUUAAUUUUUAAAAAGCAUGCAAAUUUUGAGUUAAGAUCAACAGUUAAUUCAUUAGUAUUUGAGGUUUAAAUCUAUUGUAGGAAUUACUAGGGUUUGAUUUAGGAUUUAGGAUUUGAUUAGGGUUUGAUUUAGGAUUUGGUUAGGAUUUGGUUUAGGAUUUAGAAUUUUAUUAGGAUUUAUUUAAGGUUUAAGAUUUAGUUAGUUUUUGGCCUAAAGUUUGAAUGAAGUUCAAUAGGAUUUUAAUUAAGAUUAAAUUAAGAUUGAAUUGAGAUGUAUUUGAGAUAUAUUUGUGAUCAUUUUAAUAUUUCUUUAAGAUUUCUUAUUGUUUCUUUGUUAUUCCUUUGAGGUUUCUUUGAAUUUGAUUUAAGCUUGUUUAGCAUUGUUAUGGUCUAAUUGGAAUUUAGUUAGUAU
rnacentral:lncRNA from 1 species